CGACUUCUCGGACACAGUAUAAGCCGCCUGCACUUAAAAAGUCAAAUUCUCCUGGAACCACAUCUUCAGGAUCUUCACGAUUACCACAGCCGAGUGGUGCUAGCAAAACUGUCAUAGGUGUGCCUUCAGGUAAAGUGUCCUCAGUUAGCAGCUCUUUGGGAAACAAACUUCAGACCUUAUCUCCCUCUCAUAAAGGGAUAGCAGUCCCUCAGGCAGGGUAAGUCUUCAUUGAAUUUAAUUUAUUAGUGAUAUGUAUUUAAAUGAUAUUAAGGUUUUAUUUUGUUUAGGUAAUUGGGUUUUUCAUUGAACUUAAUUUUCUAAGUUAGCAUAUUACUGAUCAGGAGCAUACUCAUUGCUGUUGAGGAUCUAAAUUAUAAACAUUUUGGAAAAUAAUCUGGUGGUACUUAUCAGGAGCCUUAAAAAAUUUAUAUUUUUCAAUGAAUAAUUUUACUUCUGAGAAUCUAGUCUAAGGAAAUAAUUUGAAAUAUGAAAGGGUUUUAUAGUAACUAUAAUUUGCUAAGCCCUAUGUAUCAGGCACUGUGCUAGACUUUUUGCAUAUAUUUUUAUUAAAACCA